rnacentral:lncRNA from 1 species
UGGAGCCACGUGAUGCAAUCUUUUCCAACUUGCACUUGGGGAGAACUUGGAAUACCCCAGAACCAAGGAGAAGACAACGAGAAGAACAGGCCGUCUCCUGCGCGUUUUGAAGCCAGUUCUCCGGGGCCUUGGGGCGACUGGAGAAAAAUGCAGUCCGACCAGUUAUCUGCUAUACUACUAAUAAAAAUAACAACAAC